rnacentral:rRNA from 1 species
UAAUACCGGAUGCUCCGCUCCAUCGCAUGGUGGGGUGGGAAAUGCUUUUGCGGCAUGGGAUGGGGUCGCGUCCUAUCAGCUUGUUGGCGGGGUGAUGGCCCACCAAGGCGUUGACGGGUAGCCGGCCUGAGAGGGUGACCGGCCACAUUGGGACUGAGAUACGGCCCAGACUCCUACGGGAGGCAGCAGUGGGGAAUAUUGCACAAUGGGCGCAAGCCUGAUGCAGCGACGCCGCGUGCGGGAUGGAGGCCUUCGGGUUGUAAACCGCUUUUGUUCAAGGGCAAGGCACGGUUUCGGCCGUGUUGAGUGGAUUGUUCGAAUAAGCACCGGCUAACUACGUGCCAGCAGCCGCGGUAAUACGUAGGGUGCGAGCGUUAUCCGGAUUUAUUGGGCGUAAAGGGCUCGUAGGCGGUUCGUCGCGUCCGGUGUGAAAGUCCAUCGCCUAACGGUGGAUCUGCGCCGGGUACGGGCGGGCUGGAGUGCGGUAGGGGAGACUGGAAUUCCCGGUGUAACGGUGGAAUGUGUAGAUAUCG